UUCCUACGGGACGCAGCAGUGGGGAAUAUUGCACAAUGGGGGAAACCCUGAUGCAGCGACGCCGCGUGAAGGAAGAAGUAUUUCGGUAUGUAAACUUCUAUCAGCAGGGAAGAAAAUGACGGUACCUGAAUAAAAAGCCCCGGCUAACUACGUGCCAGCAGCCGCGGUAAUACGUAGGGGGCAAGCGUUAUCCGGAUUUACUGGGUGUAAAGGGAGCGCAGACGGCAGUGCAAGUCUGGAGUGAAAGCCCGGGGCCCAACCCCGGAACUGCUCUGGAAACUGUGCGGCUAGCGUACUGGAGGGGC
rnacentral:rRNA from 1 species